rnacentral:rRNA from 1 species
CCUACGGGGGGCAGCAGUGGGGAAUAUUGCGCAAUGGGCGAAAGCCUGACGCAGCGACGCCGCGUGAGGGAUGAAGGUCUUCGGAUCGUAAACCUCUGUCAGCAGGGAAGAACGGUCACUGUGCUAAUCAGCAGUGAAUUGACGGUACCUGCAAAGGAAGCACCGGCUAACUCCGUGCCAGCAGCCGCGGUAAUACGGAGGGUGCGAGCGUUAAUCGGAAUUACUGGGCGUAAAGCGCUCGUAGGCGGUAUGUCAAAUCCAGGGUGAAAUCCCCGCGCUCAACGUGGGAACUGCCUUUGAAACUGGCAAACUGGAGUGUGUGAGAGGAGAGUGGAAUUCCAGGUGUAGGAGUGAAAUCCGUAGAUAUCUGGAGGAACAUCAGUGGCGAAGGUGACGAUCUGGAACAUAACUGACGCUGAGGAGCGAAAGCGUGGGUAGCAAACAGGAUUAGAUACCCCUGUAGUC